GGGCCUGUAGAUCAAUUGGUAGAUCGCCACCUUGGCAUGGUGGAGGUUUCGGGUUCAAGUCCCGACGGGUCCA
rnacentral:tRNA from 1 species